rnacentral:rRNA from 1 species
AACGCUGGCGGCGUGCUUAACACAUGCAAGUCGAACGGACUCUUUUUGAAAGCUUGCUGGAUAGAAGAGUUAGUGGCGGACGGGUGAGUAACGCGUGAGGAUCUGCCCUUCGGCGGGGGACAACAGUUGGAAACGGCUGCUAAUACCCCAUAAGCCGGGAGGUAAAAGGAGAAAUCCACCGGGGGAGGAUCUCGCGUCCUAUCAGCUAGUUGGUGAGGUAACGGCUUACCAAGGCGAUGACGGGUAACUGGUCUGAGAGGGCGACCAGUCACACUGGAACUGAGACACGGUCCAGACUCCUACGGGAGGCAGCAGUGGGGAAUAUUGGGCAAUGGGGGAAACCCUGACCCAGCGACGCCGCGUGAGGGAUGAAGUCUUUCGGGACGUAAACCUCUGUUGUACGGGAAGAAGGAAGUGACGGUACCGUACGAGGAAGCCCCGGCAAACUACGUGCCAGCAGCCGCGGUAAUACAAGCCGAAUUCCAC